rnacentral:rRNA from 1 species
AUGAACGCUGGCGGCGUGCCUAAUACAUGCAAGUCGAGCGAACGGACGAGAAGCUUGCUUCUCUGAUGUUAGCGGCGGACGGGUGAGUAACGCGUGGAUAACCUACCUAUAAGACUGGGAUAACUUCGGGAAACCGGAGCUAAUACCGGAUAAUAUUUUGAACCGCAUGGUUCAAAAGUGAAAGACGGUCUUGCUGUCACUUAUAGAUGGAUCCGCGCUGCAUUAGCUAGUUGGUAAGGUAACGGCUUACCAAGGCAACGAUGCAUAGCCGACCUGAGAGGGUGAUCGGCCACACUGGAACUGAGACACGGUCCAGACUCCUACGGGAGGCAGCAGUAGGGAAUCUUCCGCAAUGGGCGAAAGCCUGACGGAGCAACGCCGCGUGAGUGAUGAAGGUCUUCGGAUCGUAAAACUCUGUUAUUAGGGAAGGACAUAUGUGUAAGUAACUGUGCACAUCUUGACGGUACCUAAUCAGAAAGCCACGGCUAACUACGUG